rnacentral:ribozyme from 13 species
UCAACCAAAUGAAGGAAAGAAUAAAAAAGAGCAAAAGAACGAAAACCAAAAUUUUCAUUCAUUCACUUUUUGU